GACGAACGCUGGCGGCGUGCUUAACACAUGCAAGUCGAGCGGAGCGGCGAACGGGUGAGUAACGCGUGAGUAACUGCCCCCCUCUCUGGGAUAACAGCUGGAAACGGCUGCUAAUACCGGAUAGUGGGGGAUGACUCGCGUCCUAUCAGCUUGUUGGUGGGGUAGUGGCCGACCAAGGCGACGACGGGUAGCCGGCCUGGGAGGGCGACCGGCCACAUUGGGCUGAGGUACGGCCCAGACUCCUACGGGGGGCAGCGGUGGGGAGUAUUACACAAUAAGGGAGACCGUGAUGCAGCGGCGCCGCGUGCGGAAAGACGGCCUUCGGGUUGUGAACCGCUUUCGGCCAUGACGCGGUAGUGGCAGAAGAAGCACCGGCUAACUACGUGCCAGCCGCCGCGGUAAUAC
rnacentral:rRNA from 1 species